GUGAAUCAUCGAAUCUUUGAACGCAAAUUGCGCUCCCUGGUAUUCCGGAGAGUAUGCCUGAUUGAGGGUCAGGUAAAAUAAAAAUCGGAGUGGUUGCUGCAUUUCGUGGUGACGCAGCGGAGUUGGGUCGCCGUGGAUUAGGUGAAGUGACCUAAAAUUAUGAAUGAUUUUUUUCGAACGUAUUUGAAUGAUUUUACGUACGUAUGCGAUAGCGAAUACUAGGUGUGGUCAGCCUCAUGAUUAGAGUA
rnacentral:misc_RNA from 1 species